AGUGUUUGAAAAUCAUAAAAACGGCAGCCAUCUUGAAAAACCAACCUCAAUCCUACAUAAUUAUAGGCUAUCGCCUAUAUAAUAUCCAGUAACAGAUGGAUACUGUGUUAAUAGUACCAAUUCAAUCAAUGCCUCAUUUAUUAAAGAGAAAGCACAAAGGAUUCCUGUCAAAAGGCAAUUCCUUAUUCCAGGGAUUGAUUUCAAAUGCAAUGGAUCAAUUUUAAAAUGGAUUUUCGGAGGUAAAUAUAUCAAUCAGGAACCUCAGGGACAUAUCGAAUUACAAAUAUGGCGUAAAAUAGGCAAUAAUUACACUAAAAUAGGAUCAAGUUUAAUUAAUGCUAAUACAAUGAUUGGUACUAAUCUCUAUAUGAGUUUAUUCCUCAGACUCCACUGCAAUUCCAGGAAGGAGACAUAUUUGGCAUUUAUCAAAGUGAUAGAUUUCUCUAUGACCAAAGGUA